rnacentral:rRNA from 1 species
UGCCAGCCGCCGCGGUAAUACGGAAGGUGCAAGCGUUAUCCGGAAUCAUUGGGCGUAAAGCGUCCCUAAUCUGUCUUUUAAGUCGAAUAUUAAAUCUCUUGGCUCAACCAAGAAACCGUGUUCGAUACUGGAAGACUUGAGGUUGGUAGAGGUAAUAGGAAUUCCCGGUGUAGUAGUGAAAUGCGUUAAUAUCGGGAAGAACGCCAUUUGUGAAGACUUAUUACUGGGCCACACCUGACGACCAAGGACGAAAGCGUGGGGAGCGAACGGGAUUAGAUA